rnacentral:rRNA from 1 species
UACGGAGGGUGCAAGCGUUGUCCGGAAUCACUGGGCGUAAAGGGCGCGUAGGCGGCCCGGUAAGUAGGGGGGUGAAAAUCCUGCGGCUUAACCGCAGGGCUGCCUUCUAAACUGUCGGGCUCGAGCACGGUAGAGGCAGAUGGAAUUCCCGGUGUAGCGGUGGAAUGCGUAGAGAUCGGGAAGAACAUCGGUGGCGAAGGCGGC